rnacentral:lncRNA from 1 species
UGAAAUUGAAUAAAAUAGAAAAAUAAAUUCUAUUUAUAAUAUGAUUGAUAAAACAUUGAAAUUGAAAAGAAUAUAGGAUAGUUAAAAGUUAUUCUUAUGAAAAUUUGCAACAAUAACUUUUAUUUUAGUUGAUUAAUUAUAAAAUUGAUGUUGCAUAUAAUAAGUUCCUACAUUUUAUUUUCAAACUUUUUUGUAGCCAAUGGCAUGGAUUUCCUCUAGGAAAUAUAUAUAUAUA